AUACGGAGGGUCCAAGCGUUAUCCGGAAUCAUUGGGUUUAAAGGGUCCGCAGGCGGUCAAUUAAGUCAGAGGUGAAAGCCCAUCGCUCAACGAUGGAACUGCCUUUGAUACUGGUUGACUUGAGUUAUGCGGAAGUAGAUAGAAUAAGUAGUGUAGCGGUGAAAUGCAUGGAUAUUACUUAGAAUACCGAUUGCGAAGGCAGUCUACUACGUAUAUACUGACGCUGAGGGACGAAAGCGUGGGGAGCGAACAGAAUUAGAAACCCUAGUAGUCC
rnacentral:rRNA from 1 species